AACAUUGUGAGAUCAUCUGCUGCAUGCACAAACAGACUGUCUUCCAUAACCCUGAACUGGUGGCAUUGGGGGUACAGUCUUGUUCCUACCUGGACAAAGCAACCUGCUAGAAAUAAAUCGUAGGUUAUGCUGAUUUUAUAGAAGGCUGAGUUGCCUUUAAGGAAUGCUGAGGAAUGUGACCAUUCCACAUAUCCGGCCAAUCUUUCCCAUCAAAGACUGAAAGGAGGAAGAAAAGACAAAAAUGAACGCACCAAGUUAGGCUCAAUUCUUUCUCAUCUGCCAGGUCUAAGGCCUUCUGUUUUGUAGGAGAAAAGGAAAUCUGUUGCAAGAUUGAUUCUGGAAGGCUAUAAGGAGACACACUGCUCUUGGAGAGGUCAUGGGACCAGAGGCAGACAAGUUUUAAAGCAUAGCUGCAGUUAUGGGUUAAGCUCUGAAAGGCAGAGGAAAUCUUUCUCAAGGCAGGCACAGCAAGAGCGAAAUGCAGAGCGCUCUCCUGUUGCUGUGAGCCCACGGCUGCUCCGGAGGAUCGGAAACAGGCACAGGAGAGGGAGGGAUUCCUCUGUGAGCAAAACCUCUUUUAUGUCAAAGCCCCAGCUGAUCCCGCGCCCAGGACACGGCAAAAGCGCCUCUCUCCACCCGUGAGCCCAGGAAGCGAACGGAGGGUUGGACUCCAAAUGGUCUCCUCAGCGAUGACAAGCACAAAUUCUUUAGCACCAUCUAGCUAACACAGAGGUAACCCACACCGACACUCCUGCCUGCAGAGGCUCCCAAAGCCGGAGCCGCGUGUGGAUGAGGGGAAGGAGAGGGCGGAUUCAGCGCAGCACCAAGAGCGCAGCGAGUGGCUCACACGGAGCCAGAUGGAGCACGGACCAACUCCUUCCUGAUAAAAUAAAUAAAUAAAUAAAUAAAUAAAUA